rnacentral:rRNA from 1 species
AUGCAGUCGAGCGCGGGAAGCAGGCAGAUCCUCUUCGGAGGUGACGCUUGUGGAACGAGCGGCGGACGGGUGAGUAACACGUGGGCAACCUGCCUGUAAGAUUGGGAUAACCCCGGGAAACCGGGGCUAAUACCGGAUAAUACUUUUCGUUGCAUAACGAGAAGUUGAAAGGCGGCUUUUAGCUGUCACUUACAGAUGGGCCCGCGGCGCAUUAGCUAGUUGGUAAGGUAACGGCUUACCAAGGCGACGAUGCGUAGCCGACCUGAGAGGGUGAUCGGCCACACUGGGACUGAGACACGGCCCAGACUCCUACGGGAGGCAGCAGUAGGGAAUCUUCCGCAAUGGACGAAAGUCUGACGGAGCAACGCCGCGUGAGUGAUGAAGGUUUUCGGAUCGUAAAACUCUGUUGUCAGGGAAGAACAAGUGCCGUUCAAAUAGGGCGGCACCUUGACGGUACCUGACCAGAAAGCCCCGGCUAACUACGUGCCAGCAGCCGCGGUAAUACGUAGGGGGCAAGCGUUGUCCGGAAUUAUUGGGCGUAAAGCGCGCGCAGGCGGUCCUUUAAGUCUGAUGUGAAAGCCCACGGCUUAACCGUGGAGGGCCAUUGGAAACUGGAGGACUUGAGUACAGAAGAGGAGAGUGGAAUUCCACGUGUAGCGGUGAAAUGCGUAGAGAUGUGGAGGAACACCAGUGGCGAAGGCGACUCUCUGGUCUGUAACUGACGCUGAGGUGCGAAAGCGUGGGGAGCGAACAGGAUUAGAUACCCUGGUAGUCCACGCCGUAAACGAUGAGUGCUAGGUGUUAGGGGGUUUNCCGCCCCUUAGUGCUGAAGUUAACGCAUUAAGCACUCCGCCUGGGGAGUACGGCCGCAAGGCUGAAA